rnacentral:rRNA from 1 species
ACGGAGGUGUCCCAAGGUCUCCUCAGUGUGGUUGGAAAUCACACCAAAGAGUGUAAGGGCAUAAGGAGGCUUAACUGCGAGAGAGACAUCUCGAGCAGAUGCGAAAGCAGGGCCUAGUGAUCCGGCGGUAACUAGUGGAUGUGCCGUCGCUUAACGGAUAAAAGGUACUCCGGGGAUAACAGGCUUAUCUCCCCCAAGAGUCCAUAUCGACGGGGAGGUUUGGCACCUCGAUGUCGGCUCGUCGCAUCCUGGGGCUGAAGCAGGUCCCAAGGGUUUGGCUGUUCGCCAAUUAAAGCGGUACGCGAGCUGGGUUUAGAACGUCGUGAGACAGUUCGGUCCCUAUCCGUCGUGGGCGUAGGAUACUUGAAGAGGGUCUGCCUCUAGUACGAGAGGACCGAGGUGGACGAACCUCUAGUGUACCAGUUGUCCUGCUCAGGGCAUCGCUGGGUAGCUAUGUUCGGUCGGGAUAAACGCUGAAAGCAUCUAAGCGUGAAACCCACCUCAAGAUUAGGUAUCCCAUCUGGAUUUAUCCAGAGAGAGACCCCGGGCAGACUACCCGGUUGAUAGGUCAGAAGUGUAAGGACAGUAAUGUCUUUAGCUAACUGAUACUAAUAGGUCGAGGACUUGAUCGU